rnacentral:rRNA from 1 species
UACGUAGGGUCCGAGCGUUGUCCGGAAUUACUGGGCGUAAAGAGCUCGUAGGUGGUUUGUCGCGUUGUUCGUGAAAACUCACAGCUUAACUGUGGGCGUGCGGGCGAUACGGGCAGACUGGAGUACUGCAGGGGAGACUGGAAUUCCUGGUGUAGCGGUGGAAUGCGCAGAUAUCAGGAGGAACACCGGUGGCGAAGGCGGGUCUCUGGGCAGUAACUGACGGCUGAGGAGCGAAAGUGUGGGGAGCGAACAGG